GACGAACGCUGGCGGCGUGCUUAACACAUGCAAGUCGAACGGAAAGGCCCUGCUUUUGUGGGGUGCUCGAGUGGCGAACGGGUGAGUAACACGUGAGUAACCUGCCCUUGACUUUGGGAUAACUUCAGGAAACUGGGGCUAAUACCGGAUAGGAGCUCCUGCUGCAUGGUGGGGGUUGGAAAGUUUCGGCGGUUGGGGAUGGACUCGCGGCUUAUCAGCUUGUUGGUGGGGUAGUGGCUUACCAAGGCUUUGACGGGUAGCCGGCCUGAGAGGGUGACCGGCCACAUUGGGACUGAGAUACGGCCCAGACUCCUACGGGAGGCAGCAGUGGGGAAUAUUGCACAAUGGGCGGAAGCCUGAUGCAGCAACGCCGCGUGCGGGAUGACGGCCUUCGGGUUGUAAACCGCUUUCGCCUGUGACGAAGCGUGAGUGACGGUAAUGGGUAAAGAAGCACCGGCUAACUACGUGC
rnacentral:rRNA from 1 species